rnacentral:rRNA from 1 species
UACGUAGGGGGCUAGCGUUGUCCGGAAUCAUUGGGCGUAAAGAGCGCGUAGGCGGCUAGAUAAGUCCGGUGUGAAAGUCACAGGCUCAACCUGUGAAUGCCGCUGGAAACUGUCUGGCUAGAGUCCGGAAGGGGCGAGUGGAAUUCCUGGUGUAGCGGUGAAAUGCGUAGAUAUCUGGAGGAACACCGGUGGCGAAGGCGGCAUUCUGGACCGAUAUUGACGCUGAGGAGCGAAAGCCAGGGGAGCAAACGGG